GGGAGACAGAUGUACCUUCUGAGCAGCUGUAGGGAGUCCCAGUUAACUGAGAAAGUUUUAAGGAGGCCCAUGACAUUGUGAAUAUGCGCCUCUGGAUCACUAUCUGAUCCGGACUAGAGAAGAGAUGUGGUAUGGUGAAGGUGCUCAACUUUCUUUGAGUAUACCAAAACUAUAUUGCUCCAGAAAGUUUGACAAAGGAAGCUGGAGGCGUGGGAGAGAAGCGAAGAGAUCUUCAUUAGCUGGAAAUAUGGAGAAAUUAUGGCAGCUCAGUCCUCAUGCCAAGAAAAGAUGUCUCUCCACCAGGAGCCUGGGUCACACAGGCACUCCAGAGGCUCUCCGUCCUUCACUUGUACUAAGGUCUUCUCUCACCAGGGCCAAGACUCUGGUGAUUUCACUGAAAUCGGUAGUGCUCGGUACUCUCUGA
rnacentral:lncRNA from 1 species